rnacentral:rRNA from 1 species
GACGAACGCUGGCGGCGUGCUUAACACAUGCAAGUCGAACGGAAAGGCCCUGCUUUUGUGGGGUGCUCGAGUGGCGAACGGGUGAGUAACACGUGAGUAACCUGCCCUUGACUUUGGGAUAACUUCAGGAAACUGGGGCUAAUACCGGAUAGGAGCUCCUGCUGCAUGGUGGGGGUUGGAAAGUUUCGGCGGUUGGGGAUGGACUCGCGGCUUAUCAGCUUGUUGGUGGGGUAGUGGCUUACCGAGGCUUUGACGGGUAGCCGGCCUGAGAGGGUGACCGGCCACAUUGGGACUGAGAUACGGCCCAGACUCCUACGGGAGGCAGCAGUGGAGAAUAUUGCACAAUGGGCGGAAGCCUGAUGCAGCAACGCCGCGUGCGGGAUGACGGCCUUCGGGUUGUAAACCGCUUUCGCCUGUGACGAAGCGUGAGUGACGGUAAUGGGUAAAGAAGCACCGGCUAACUACGUG